CUUCGAAUACGCCACGAUAUCCAAAUUUUCUCUGAUACUUCAAUGCUAGAAAAAUUCCAUUAAUAUGCGUCUGUGGUAUUGAUAAAAAUCGUUAUUUAUUCAUAUACCCGUGAGAAUAAUAUUUAUUUAUCGGCCGACAAUAAUUUAAAAACAAUGGCAGAAUUAAAAUCAUUGUUAUAGUUGUAUACAGAAGUACAAUAUUAU